rnacentral:rRNA from 1 species
GAUUAUGGCUCAGGACGAACGCUGGCGGCGUGCCUAACACAUGCAAGUCGAGCGAUGAAAUCCUUCGGGAUGGAUUAGCGGCGGACGGGUGAGUAACACGUGGGUAACCUGCCUUGUAGAGGGGGAUAGCCUUCCGAAAGGAAGAUUAAUACCGCAUAACAUCUUUUUAUCGCAUGGUAGAAAGAUCAAAGGAGUAAUCCGCUACAAGAUGGACCCGCGGCGCAUUAGCUAGUUGGUGAGGUAACGGCUCACCAAGGCGACGAUGCGUAGCCGACCUGAGAGGGUGAUCGGCCACAUUGGAACUGAGACACGGUCCAGACUCCUACGGGAGGCAGCAGUGGGGAAUAUUGCGCAAUGGGGGAAACCCUGACGCAGCAACGCCGCGCGAAUGAAGAAGGCCUUAGGGUUGUAAAGUUCUGUUUACGGGGACGAUAAUGACGGUACCCGUGGAGGAAGCCACGGCUAACUACGUGCCAGCAGCAGC